CAGGUUGGAUUAUGCUCAAGUCUUCUACAUAGGCCCUCCCAAGAAAACUGCCUCAGAAACCUCCAGUGGCUCAGAAACUCUGUCUUUGAAUGGUACAAAGAAGUAGAAUAUACCUGGGGCACACACUUGACCUUUCUCUGCCUAAUGAGAUUCCAACACUUUGGCUGGAAUUCAGACAUGAUGAGUGGAGUUGGAAAAGUCAUCUUGAACAAUGAGAUACAAGCUAUGUAUUGAGGAUAGCAGAGCAAGAGCUAGAGCCUGAGUCUCUUACAAUCAUGGAAUAACCACAAUGCUCUACAUCAUUUGCCCAGGCUUUUAGAGAAGAAAGAAAUUGCAUUUCUCUUUUGUUUGAGCUAUUGUUUUUAUUUAUUUUCUGUAACUUGUUGUUGAAUCUAAUACAUGCCAGAUCAGUCGGGUUGUUUUGAGGAUUAAAUGGGAUAGCAUAUGUCAAGUAUUUUGUACAGUACCUGGCAAAGGGGAAUGCAAGUAUUCAAUAUAUAUGACUGCUAUUAUUAUUAGGAUAAAUUGGCUUGUAAAAGAGUCACUCUAAGGGUCAAAUAAAAAAUACAAGUGAACAUGCUUUUUAAUCUGCAAAUCUAAUAAUUGCUGUAUAAAUGCUGGUCAUAAUUAUCAUUAUCAUUAUUAAAUUGUUACAAGAAAUUUGUUAACUGCCAGCAGACUCUACUUGGAGCAAUCUGUUUAGGCCAAUUAAAAAAUAGAUACAGACUUCUUUACUUUUGUUAGGUUUAUUUAGCUUUAGGCAACUGUGAAUGUUUAUAAGCUUGUCAUUAUAUUGAUGCUUUAAAACUUAGAUGAAAUACUCAUUUGGGUAGUAUAAAGAAAAUGCUUAGAAGCUGAUGAGACUGUGCCAUCUUUUAUUCGUUUACUUUUACCUUAAAAAAAUUCUACAUUACAAAAAUCAAUGUAGUGUUUGUAGUUAAAAUAAAUUGCAAUUAUAAAGACUUGAGUAAAGUAAAUGAGAAGAGUCCAUCCCUUCCUUCUCUUCUCUAUCUCAUUCUUUAGAAUUAACUGUAUUAACAAUUUAAUCAACACUUCUUGUAAGUAAAUAUCUAUUUUUUUGUACAAUGAUAUAGAUAUACAUUUUCUCUUUACAAAAAAGAAUGAUUUUGCAGGGAGUUCAAAAUAGCAGAAAAGAAACUCUUUUUGCAACAGCUUUUGGUCUGGUUUAGAUGGGCUUUCCAAUUUAAAAUAUCUCUUGAACAUCCUUCCGUGUCAGUACAUAUCCAUCUAUCUCAUUUUUAAACACCUUCUAG
rnacentral:lncRNA from 1 species